rnacentral:rRNA from 1 species
UAGGGAAUCUUCGGCAAUGGACGAAAGUCUGACCGAGCAACGCCGCGUGAGUGAAGAAGGUUUUCGGAUCGUAAAACUCUGUUGUUAGAGAAGAACAAGGACGUUAGUAACUGAACGUCCCCUGACGGUAUCUAACCAGAAAGCCACGGCUAACUACGUGCCAGCAGCCGCGGUAAUACGUAGGUGGCAAGCGUUGUCCGGAUUUAUUGGGCGUAAAGCGAGCGCAUGCGGUUUCUUAAGUCUGAUGUGAAAGCCCCCGGCUCAACCGGGGAGGGUCAUUGGAAACUGGGAGACUUGAGUGCAGAAGAGGAGAGUGGAAUUCCAUGUGUAGCGGUGAAAUGCGUAGAUAUAUGGAGGAACACCAGUGGCGAAGGCGGCUCUCUGGUCUGUAACUGACGCUGAGGCUCGAAAGCGUGGGGAGCAAACAGG